GACUCCAUCUCUUGAGGGGGAGUGGCAUGAUUCUGAAAAAGCACCUGGGAGCAGAAAGGUUGCUGUGGCUGUUUUUGGAAAACACAGUCUGCUACACAUGGCUAACUGGAGACCCGUGGAAGACUAGAUAGGCUCUGAGAUAGGUGUACUGCUUCAUGGUUAGGCUACAAAGCCUGUGUCUUCAUCCACUCAGGCUGCUAUAACAAAACACCCUAGACUGGGUAAUUUAUAAAUGACAGAAAUUUACUACUCACAGUUCUGGAGUCUGGAAAGUCCAAGAUCAAGGCACCAGCAGAUUCAGUGGUCUGGUGAGGGAGUGCCCUGCUUCAUAGAUAGCACCUUCUUGCUGAGUCCUCACAUGGAGGAAGGGGUGAACAAGCACCUUCUUUUGUGAGGAUACUAAUCCUAUACAUGAAGGCUCUGCCCUCAUGAGCUAAUCACCUCCUAAAGGCCCCACCUCUUAAUAUCAUUGCAUUGGGGAUUGUUUCAAUGUAUGAAUUCCCUGGACAUGCCCCCAUGUCCAUGGGGACAUGAACAUUCGACUAUGGCAGCCUCAUAGCAAGCACUUAGGAGUUCUAGAAAGAAUCAAGAGACCCAAUCCCUACCCUUAAGGAGCCUACACUCUCAAGAGAUACAUAGAUUUGGCCGUGAUUAAAGGACACAAAACGGUGCACUGAGGAGUGGGCUGGGUAGCCAGUUCCCACCUGGAUAGGGUGGACUAAACAGCCACUCAGUAGCCAGAGAGGAGUGGCAGGGAGGGUGUCCAUACAACAAAUACGGACCAGUCCCAAGCGUGGAUCCUGUCCAUCUGCUGUCCUUUCAGGGCUCCUGAGAUGGCCCUCAGCCUCACCCUCCACUCCACCUCCCAUAGACUCUGCAGAGGGAGCCACUAGUCUCAGGCUAUGUCUGUUAUCACAAUGCGAGUACAUCUGAGAGGGGCAAUCCAGAACCUUUCGGGUGAUACUACUUAACCACUGUGAGGAAAUUUACAGACCUUUUCCAAAGAGUGGACUUCUAAAGGAGUAAGAAAAGUGAGGAUGCUACCUGUGGGGGCACUACUACAGGGACAGUUACACAAAGGGAGGAUGCCAGGCGGGCCAAACACCAGCAAGCAUUUCUCAUUUGCAACCUGAAUUUUCAACCCUCUCCCAGACAACUUUGUGGAAUAAAGCAAUGUAGAGAUGCACACAAGGGGUUGUACAAACUUGGAAGAUGUUAGGGACCCCCCCCCCCGUGCCCACCCCGCCAACCACAGAAGCAACUGGCAAAACCUCUUUCCUCUUCAGGAUUGCCCUGGAGGACACAGCUGGGAGAGAGUCAAGUGCAGAUGUGCCAAAACUCUUUGGCUAAUGAACUCAUGCACGCAUCCAUGCAUUCAUUCAUUCAUUCACUUAAUCAUCUGUGUUGAGCUCCUACUAUGUGCUUUGCACUUUAGAAAUAAAAAGAUCAGCUGGGCGGGGUGGCUCACGCCUGUAAUCCCAGCACUUUGGGAGGCCUGAGGCGGGUGGAUCACGAGGUCAGGAGUUCGAGACCAGCCUGGCCAACAUGGUGAAACCCCGUCUCUACU
rnacentral:lncRNA from 1 species